rnacentral:snoRNA from 1 species
UUCUAUGAUGAUAGAAUCAUGACGGUCUUCAUAAAACAAAUUGCUGAAGAAACUUGACUCUGUUUUUACGAAACGUAAAAAUACUGAUA